rnacentral:pre_miRNA from 1 species
UUACAGGGCAAGAUCACCAUUGGCAGAAAUCUAUUACUUCAUUCUUGCAUAUGCAUAAAUGUUUGUGGUGAGCUCUCUGCCAAAGGAGAUUUGCCCGGUAAU